rnacentral:lncRNA from 1 species
UACACUAUGCUCCAGGAAGAGAUCAUCAGACCAUUCUGAAGAGGAGGAGUUGAACGAAAGGAUCUAAAGAAGUCUGGGCAGAGGGACACUGAGAUGAGCAAUGUGGUUGGAGGAGAGGAUACUGACCCAAGAAUUCUCUGGAUAAGAAGAAGGAGGAGGGGAAGCCUGAAGUGGAUGGGGUCGAGCCUCAGCCGUGGAAGAAUUGCUAAUUACAGCCACCAUAAGGAAAUAUCAAUGAUGGACGUCAAUAUUAUUGCCUCCUGCAUCCCUGCCUGUUUAUUUGGAGAUGAAAAGCACCCUAGGGUCGUCUCUCCAGGACGAAGAUGAGUGAUGACAGAAGGGAGGAGAGCUGCACAUGGAGAAAAGGGCAUCCAGCUGGAUUCAUUCAUGAAACCAGGACCCAUUUCCUCUGGGCAGAGUUCUCUCCACUGAGGGCCCAGGGCUGG